UACGAAGGGGGCUAGCGUUGCUCGGAAUCACUGGGCGUAAAGCGCACGUAGGCGGUCUUUUAAGUCAGGGGUGAAAUCCUGGAGCUCAACUCCAGAACUGCCUUUGAUACUGGAUGCCUGGAGUUCGGGAGAGGUGAGUGGAAUUCCGAGUGUAGAGGUGAAAUUCGUAGAUAUUCGGAGGAACACCAGAAGCGAAGGCGGCUCACUGGCCCGAUACUGACGCUGAGGCGCGAAAGCGUGGGGAGCAAACAGG
rnacentral:rRNA from 1 species